CCAUGGCGUUAGUGUGAGUGUCGUACAGCCUCCAGGCCCCCCCCUCCCGGGAGAGCCAUAGUGGUCUGCGGAACCGGUGAGUACACCGGAAUUGCCGGGAAGACUGGGUCCUUUCUUGGAUAAACCCACUCUAUGCCCGGCCAUUUGGGCGUGCCCCCGCAAGACUGCUAGCCGAGUAGCGUUGGGUUGCGACAGGCCUUGUGGUACUGCCUGAUAGGGUGCUUGCGAGA
rnacentral:other from 12 species